GCGUCAGUGCGCAGGCGCGGAGCGGGGCCCGUGCGCGGGCGCGGGGGGAGCGGGCGGCGUGUCCGGCAGCGGUGAGCGAUGCUGCGGGACGGGGGGCCCGUUCCGCAGGAGGGAGCCUCUGCGGCUGCUGCGUGGAGUCCUCAGCUGGCGCCUCAGGAAAGAAGCUCGUCUGUCCCCAUAGCAAGGCUGCAGCUCGGCCUGCCGGAAGACUUUCCUCCACGAAAUUGAGAGCCGUGAAUCGUUACACCUAGAACAAGAUUCUCGCGGACUGAAUGUCUUUUCAAAAUCUUGACAAGCCAUACAGUGUGAAUUCUGUAAAAGUUUAGGCUGCUUCUCUGCCAUGGUCAUCCCAAGCUUUGAACUUAUAUUUAAACUAAUACAUGUCGCUGCCCAUACAGGCUAUUUGGAACUAGAUGUUCUUUGAGGUCCCUUCCAACCCAAACCAUUCUAUACUUCUGUGAUUGAUAAGUUGUUUGUCUGUUUUUCCUAAAGUCUGUGUCAUCUUUUCUGCAUUAUCAUUUCCACCUCACUUUGAUCCCAUGCAUACAAAGAGCCCAAGAGGGUUACUUGCUUGUUACAGAAAAAGAUGCAGUGGAUGGGACGAUGUAGUGCCUCAAGCCUGCCAGUUCUGGUUUCAAAAGUUACUGUUUGCCUUUGAUGAGUUAGUAACCAAUGUCUCACUUGGUACUCCUUAAGCAGUGGAGGGAGUGCCCUGCUACAAAAACCUUUGAGGUUUAGCCAGCUAUACUGGUAAUAGACUGCUGUCCCAAUUCCUUAUAACCUCUUCCAUUAGUAAGUGUGGAAUCUCACAGUACAUUUUCUUGGUAACCACAGCUGUCUUUCUACAAGAUAAGAUGCUGAUGUUGGGCUAACUUAAUAUUGUAAUGUAAUUAAACCCCACAUUUAUUAGGAUUGUGUAAUGCCUUGAGAAGUUUUUCUCUUGCCACAUUGUCAACAUGAUGUUUGCAACAAAAACAUCUUUUAACUCCUUAUUACAGUAAGCUUGGCUUCAUACCAAUUUUUUACCAGCAGUGCAAUAGAGCAGGGUUCAGCUGGCUGCAUUGCAAUACAAAGGGAAAGUGGGAGACACCUCUCCCCGCAGGAGUGUAUAAAUGUGGACAUAUGUUGCACACACAUCUGAUUUGUGCUGUUUCUGUCAUCAUCCACCUCAGACUGACACUGCUGCUGGACAGACAAAGCCUCUUAGUUCUUUCACAACCAAAAAGAAACUGCUGACUGGUGCUAAUAGGAAUCCAGCAUUCUUGGCAGCACAACCUUGCAUUGUAUGGAGAGCCGUAAAUAAUUUUUUUUUUUUUUUUUAAAAAGACAAGCCUGAGAUAAAAUAUCACUUGCUAUUUUUUGUGUGGGUGGUUACAACUUAAAAUACGCUUGCUUUCACUAUUGCCCAAUACCAGAUCUUAUUCUGUACUCUGCAGAUAAAAUAAAAGGGAUUUUUUUUUUUAAGUUCUCAUUCAGCAGUCCACUAUAUGUAAAUGCUGAGAUUCACAUGCAAAUGCUGAGGGUUUUGUGACUUUCACUGCUCUUUUCUGAUCAGACUACGUUAAAUUUAAACUCAUAUUCUGGUUUUUGUGGUUGUGGGUUAUAGUACCAAACAGUUCUGCCUAGUUUGUGGUGGGGUGAGAGUUCAUUUACAUGGUGGCUGUUAAGAUCUGCUGUGAGGGCUUGUAAAAGCUUCAGCAUAACUGUGAAUCAACUCCUAAGCCUGUGAAAUGCUAAGGAUGAAGUUUUUUCAGACCAUUUACUUGACCUUUGAGCGAAUAGAAGAAACAAAACAAAACAGUGAUUUUUUUAUUAUUUUUUUUUUUCCUUUCUAAGAGGUACAGGAACAUGAAACAACUCACUGUAUGGGGCCUAAAUUAAGUAAAUUAUUUCUUGGUGUUUCCCCAAGCUCAGCUUGUUCAGCUCCAUCAAACAGGUUAUGGCAAAGGUUGGCUCUCAAGGUAUUUCUUCAAGUUGCUUCCCAUCAGCUGCAGAAUUUGGAGUUGGUUGUUGCUUGGUUUUUGUUUGUUUGUUUUCCUAGAGUACUUGUCUUUUAUUUUUGUAGUGCUUCUUCUUAACAGCCAGCAAUUUGUUUUUUUCAUCUUCUUUGUGAAAUAUUUUUGAUAAUUGCCCUGCUAUCAAACUGGAGUAUUACUUUUACUGACUUCACUUAACAUUACCUUUUCUGUGCAAACAGAAAAACUUAGAUGUGAAAUGAAGCCCAAAAGUUAGAAAGAGAUUUUUAUGUCAAAUGUGUACAGCAAUUACUUUCUGGUUUUCAGAACUCCUGGAUUUUUUUUUCAAAGUAACUUGAUCUUCCCAGAGCAGUUACUCUAACUUCAUGCCACUGUGGCUUUGUCCUGCUUAAUGCUUUUCAGUUGUCCAUGAUUCCCCAGUAACUACUGUUUCACAAAUUGAUGUGUAUAUUUUCAUGGUUUACAAGUUACUAGGAGAAGCCAUUAAUUGCAGCUGGCUUUUGCAAGGGGGAAGAAAACACAUUGAGACUGAAAUGUCAUAGGGAAGAUAACUGGAAAGUAUUUGCCUCCAGUACAUCUUUCCCUGCAGCCAGGUUUCCUGAUGUAACCCCAGUGCUUCUGGAAUUCAGAAAUAUUUAAAUAUAGAACAGGGACAACAGACAGCAGGGUCCCCUUUCUGACUGAGAGUUAUCCAAAGCUAAGGGACUUGCUGGUGUUUAUCAGAGUGCAUAUACACGCUGUGGAGCCCACAGUAUCUAGCAAUUGAUGUCUGUGACAUCUCUCAGUAAUGUUACAUUUAAUGGAAGGAGAAUCUGACAGCCAAGACAGUGAACAGGUCUGAUGGAAGCCUGCUUAUUUACAGCAAAUGUGCAAGGACCUGAUUCACUCAGCUGUUGGUGGCCCAGUAAAAGCAGUUUUGCUGUUGUUGGUAUCAGACCAGAGUCCUUAUGCUAACUUUGUGAGGCCAGAGGACCAGAGCCUAUUGUGCUUGUUGACUUGUGAGGCCCUAAGUUGUGAAAAGAAGUUUUGUAAUGUUAUCAUAUGUUACAGUGUGCAGUUCCUGUAUAAGGUAAUAGCAAAAGCCUUGAAAACAUGGGUGUGGGCUAAAAGAGCAUCCCCGAGGCUAUAAGAAAUUCACCAAUAGCUCAUGGACUAAGUGCAGCCUUGAGACGUGAGAAAAACUAUGUCAUCAAGAGAAGAAAGAGGAAGCAGCUACACAAGAAAAAUUGAUAAUAUGCCUGACAACCUAGGAAAGUAACACCUUGAAGCCUUGCACUGCAUGAAGUCCAUCAGGCAGAGGCCUAAGACUUAGCCCCUACUUAGAGAAUCAAACAUCUUGAGAUAAGAUCUGACCAGUAAGUUAUUUCCUCACUACAUAUAGCUGUCCAAAGCUGUGAGCAUACUCCUGACUUCGAGGAUCCUGACUGUUAUGGACCCUUAGUCUUGACAGCAUUGUCCAGGGUUGUGCAUAACAAGAUCAGUGUGUAUGUGUCUGUGUGUCUUCACCUCAGAUUAUGUGUGUUCCACCUCUUCAAACGCUAAAAAAAACCCUGUUGCAUGUAACUAGUUUGUCUAGUUAGUUACUACUGGUAAAAGGCUUUGCAGUUUCUUUAGCAAACAUUGAGGCAAAUAGUCACAUCAGUCAGUGCUCAUGAUGUCAGUGUAUUCAUCCCAUCGUCUCACAUACCUGUCUGUUAUUAAGGCUGCCAAUCAUUAUUAGCAUUACCAUAAUUUUAUAAGUCCUACCCAGAUUGUAGGACUGAUGGCAGAUAAAGAAUAUGAAAGUGUUUCUCACCCCAAAUAACUGACAGACUAAGGAAGGAAGGAAUGAAAUGGUGGUUGCAAGAAAGUAGCACAUUCAUAGCACAAGUUACGUUUCAGACCUUUUGGAGACGAGUGCUGACUUUUCAAAACCAAGUGAAAAGCAACAGGAACAGUAGCGUGGCCUGCACAAGGCCAUGAAGAUGGGGCAGCUGCUUGUGUUGGCUAUGCUGUACAGUGGGGAGGUAGGGCAGUACUCCUGGUGGUUGUCUGUGAGGCUGGGUGCCAACAGCUGAGCAGCAGCAGAGAUAUGGGAGGAAAAGGUAAGAUCUUGAGCUUAUUUAGGUAGACGUGUGGACAGACUCCAGAGGGGCAGCACAGUCUGGAGAGGCUUUGGAUCAAAUGGAGCACACACUGAUAACCAGGAGGUGAGGGAAAAUAGCAGAGUGACUGGCAGGUGGUAAUAUGAAGAGCUCCUUCCUUACUCUUAAUGAAAGGCAGCAUUUAUGCCCUUCACAAUGAAUGACCUGUCCCAGAAAAAUGUUUCAAAAGCAGGCAUUUUCUACUAGCUGUUGACAUUAAAUUGGCAUGAAUAAGUGCGAGAUGUCCUAGGAUGUAAUGUUUAUUUUUCUGUUAGGGUGAGAUUUUCCACUGAGUUGACAAUCUCUGUUCCACAUGCCUUUAUGCAGAGCUCCCUUUUGCUCUCCCUGUAAUAGGUAUUAGCAGAAAACACCAGUGCAUCUUUCAGGAAGGCUGAACCAGCUGCAAGCAUGUCUCUGGAGUAGGUGAACUGGCACUUAGAUUCCACUUUGCAGUAAUUGAUACAGUGUAAAUUAAUUCGUUCUUAAUCUAAUUUUGCAUGCACUCUGGAGCCUUCCCUGUCUUCUGUUAGCAGCAUAAUUUCCUUCGCUACAGGAAUAAUUCAGAAGUUUACUUGAGGUAUGAAACUGCUACCAACCUUCCAUAGUCAUUCUUGUUUAUUGUGCAAGACAACACUGAAGCAGCUUCACGCUAUGUUGGUCAUGAUAGUAAAGGGCAGCUGCUCAGGUUACUAGACUGUGAGCUAGUAGGAAGUGACUGUGGUAUCACUGGUAACUUGCAGCAAUGUAGUUGUAACCAUUUCAGCCACUACCAGCUGAAGGCAGAAGCAGGUCUGGAUGUUACUUUUUUUUGGCUUUAUCAGUGACUUCUCAUGUCUGUAUGCCUCAAGGUCUGAAAAAAGGUCAUCAGAAGGGACUGGAGCCUUCAAACUUGGAGAAAUCAAGGUCUAACACAGUAGUACUCCCUUGGAUGAGGGAAAUUGUCACGUGCCUUUUCAGCACCACACCCAGAAGCAUGGAAAUGCGUUAAGAGUUUCCAUAAGUGCUUGAACACCAUGGAGUCUGCACAGAAGCACCUGUAGUUCAUACAUACUGACAUAAAGUUAGUAAGAGAUAAAAAUUAAAUCCAGUCUUUAGUGAUAAAGGGGUCUGAAAUUUCUUUUAAGUAGUGAUUCACUCCUGGGGUCUUUUAUUAUGAGAGCGAUUUCUUUUUUGUUGUUAACCUUUUUGAUUUAUUGGCACUUAAACAGCUGCCAAGAAUAUUGGGAAUUCACAAUAAAAUAGUGCUUGGCAAGUGCAUUAGACUAUCAUCUUGACAGGCUUAUAUAUUUAUUACAGUAAUUAUAUGGCUGUAGUAAUUGUAUUAGGAAUAUCUAGGUGGUAUUUCCCAUCUGUAAAAUCAGUAUUGGGCAUGGGAAAAAGAUUUCUCAGCCGACCCUAAUCUGCAAAUUUUCCUUAAAUAUAUAAUAAAUGUUCUUAGAUGGCAGCAAAAUCUUUGAUUAUUUUUCCCCUCUAUACAGAGAUUUAGGUACAAUAACUAUAGUAAGUACAUGAACUUCCUAAUUUGAAACCACUGUUAAUUCAUUUUACCCCAUUUAUUAAAGAAGCAAGAGACAAUGUGUAGAAGGGAGGAAUCUAAAUUCAGCGAGUGGCUCCAAGGACUGUUGCCUCUCAAGAGCUAUUCCUAGAGGACUGCAUCUGACAGUCAUAGAAUAAUAGAAUGGUUUGGGUUGGAACAUAAUCUAGUUCAAACCACCCCGCCAUGGGCAGGGACACCUCCCACUAGAUCAGGUUGCUCAGGGCCUGAUCCAACCUGGCCUUGAACACUUUCAGGGAGGGGGCAUCCACAACUUCCCUGGGCAACCUGUUCCAGUGUCUCACUACCCUUACAUGAAAUAAUUUCUUUGUAAUGACUAACCUAAACCAACCUUCUUCCAGCUUAAAACCAUUACUCCUUGUCCUAUCAGUACACACCCUGGUAAAAAGCCUCUCUCCAGCUUUCCUGUAGCUCCUUCAGGUGCUGGAAGGCCACUACAAUGUUACCUUGGAUCUUCUCGAGAAUGAACAGCCCCAACUCUCUAAACCUGUCUUCAUAGGAGAGGUGCUUCAGCCCUUUCAUAAUCUUUGUGGCCCUUCUCUACACCCACUCCAAGAGCUCUGUGUCCUUCCUGUGUUGGGGAGUUCAGAACUGGACACAGUAAUCCAGAAGGGGGUCUCAGUCUGGCAUCAUCCCAGCACCAUGCCUGCUGUUAGAAUCUAACUCUUUAUUUGUUAGCUUGCUUGUUUAUUGGCUUUCUUGUAGUCACAUCAGUGUCAUUUUGCUACUUCAGGAUAUGAGGUUUACCAAGACAGGCCAUAUGGGAGCUUCCAGUUGAAUACCAGGCUGCAUACUGCAUGUUGCUCAAAGCAUUUUAAUGCAGAGGUCAUCUUUGCAGCUUCUGACAGUCAUGACUAGUGAUUCUGGAAGCUUAGCCCAUCAGUGCCAGUGCCUGGAAGAAGCUGUUGACUGGGAAUCAGAAUUAAAUUCUGUAAAUCUUUAUAUGCAGACUGCUUGUCAGUGAGCAAAGUAUUAAAUUCUACAUACUUCACUAGAGUUUGGAAAUGCACAAAUCCUUUUAGCUGUGAAGUUUCAUUCUUUACUCACUGGUUUCUUUGGAGUGCUAGGCAGGGAAAGGGAAGGGAAUGAAAAUUUUUUGAGUUUGACAAUUGCCAAUGUGUGUCUUGAUGACGGUUAUCUGAUGUUUGGGUCUGUUAGCAGGAAAGGCUGUUGUUACUAUAGAGGGAACUUCACAGUGGUUUAGAGUGUAAAUUCUUUGACAACUGUUUUAAUAUUUAGGCUCUAUUUGGGCUUCUGUCCUGUCUUUGUCCCCACCUGUGCUGUAGUAACCAGUAUAAAUGGAAGUCAGAAGCUGCAUAUUGGCCUUCUGUAGUGCUGCAGGGCUGCUGUGGAAAGGCCAGAUGUCUGAAUAUUUCCAAAGCAAGAAAAAUUAUUGCAUGAGAUGUUAGAAUGGCAAAUAAUGUCGUCAGCAAGGGAAGCCUGUUGUUAUUUCUGCAGUUUGAUAGUAUCACAGUGAGGAUCCUCCUAACUUCAGGACUGGACUGAGCAGUUGCAAAAUGGAUUGCUGAGAGUACUGUGAAAAGCUCCAAGGGAAAUGACAUCAGAAAUUGGCAGCAAUUAAUCUGGUACAUUGAUUCCAAGAAUAAUAUUUAUCUGGAAAAUAAUGAAUAAAAUCCUACAGGUCUAACUGGGCCUACUAUGAAUAAA